rnacentral:lncRNA from 1 species
AGGCUGAACCUAGACAAGGGUUACAUCACUUAGGUGAUCAGUGUAGAGGUAUGUGAAAAUUCCCGUGUAGACAGAGCCUAGACAAUUGUUACAUCACCUAGUGAUCAGUGCAGGGAUAAGUCAUAAAGCCUCCUGUAGGCAGAGCGUAGACAAGAGUUCCCUCCCCAGGGUGAUCAGUGCAGAGAUGUGUCACAAAGCCCCUGUAGGCAGAGCCUAGACAAGAGUUUCAUCACUUGGUUGAUCAGUUCAGAGAUGUGUCACAAUGUCCAUGUAGGCAGAUCUAAGACAAGGGUCCAUCACCUGGGUGAUCAGUGCAGAGAUAUGUACCAAUGUGCCCUGUAGGCAGUGCCUAGACAAGAGUUGAAUCACCUCAGAGAUCAGUGCAUAGAUAUGUCACAAAGCCUUCUGUAGGCAAAGCCCAUACAAGGUUUACAUCACCUAGGUGAUCAGUGCAGUGAUAUGUCACAAAAAUCCCUGUAGACAGAGCCUAGACAAGAGUUACAUCACCUGGGUGAUCAGUGCAGAUAUUUGACACAAUGCCCCCAUAGACAGAGCCUAGACAAGACUUCCAUCACCUGGGUGAUCAGUGCAGAGAUAUGUCACAAAUCCCCCUCUAGGCAGAGUAUAGAGAAGAGUCCCAUCACCUGGGUGAUCAGUGCAGAGAUAUUUCACAAUGCCCCCUGUAGGCAGAGAGUGGACAAAAGUUACAUAACCUAGAUGAUCUGUGCAGAGCUAUGUCAAAACGCCCCUGUAGGCAGAGCCUAGAUGAGUGUUACAUCACCUGGGUGAUCACUGCAGAGAUACGUCACAAUACCCCCUGUAGGUGGGGCCUAGACAAGAGUUACAUCACCUGGGUGAUCAGUGGAGAUAUCUGUCACAAUUCGCCUUUAGGCGCAGCUUAGACAAGCGUUACAUCACAUGAGUGAUCAGUGCAGAGAUAUGUCACUAUGCCCCCAUAGGCAGAUCCAAGACAAGAGUCCAUCACCUGGGUGAUCAUUGCAGGGAUAUGUCACAAAGCACCCUGUAGGCAGAUCCUAGAGAAGAGUUAUAUCACCUGGGUGAUCAGUGCAGAGAUAUGUCACAAGCCCCCUGUAGGCAGAGCCUAGACAAGAGUUAUAUCACCUGGGUGAUCAGUGCAGUCAUAUGUCACAAUGCUGUGUAGCCAGAGCCUAGACAAAAGUUACAGCACCUGGGAGAUCAGUGCAGAGAUAUGUCACAAUGUCCCCAGUAGGCAGAGACCAGGCAAGAGUUGGAUCACCUCGGGAUCAGUGCAGAGAUAUGUCUCAAUCCCCCUGUGGGCACAGCCUAGACAAGAGUUACAUCACCUCGGUUAACAGUGCAGAGAUAUGUCAAAAUGCCCCUGUAGGCAGAGCCUACACAAGUAUUACAUCACUUAGGUGAUCAGUGCAGAGAUAUGUCACAAUACCCCCUGUAAGCAGAGCCUAGACAAGAGUUACAUCACCUGGGUGAUCAGUGCAGACAUAUGUGACAAGGCCCCUUUAAGCAGAGCCUAGACAAUAGUUACAUCACCUGAGUGAUCAGUGCAGAGAUCUGUCACAAUGCCCCUUUAGGCAGAGCUUAGACCAGAGUUACAUCACCUGGGUGAUCAGUGCAGAGGUAUGUCACAUUGCCCCCAUAGGCAAAUCCAAGACAAGAGUCAGUCACCUGGGUGAUCACUGCAGAAAUAUGUGACAAUGCCCCCAGUAGGCAGAACCUAGAGAAGAGUCCCUUCACCUGGGUGAUCAGUGCAGAGUUAUGCCACAAUGCCCCCUGUAGGCAGAGCCUAGACAAGAGUUACAUCAUCUGGUUGAUCAGUAAAGAGAUAUUUCUCAAUGCCCCUGCAGGCAGAGCGUAAGCAAGAGUUACAUCACCUAGAUGAUCAGUGCAGAGAUACGUCACAAGGCCCCCUAUAGGCAGAGCCUGGACAAGAGUUACAUCACCUCGGUGAUCAAUGCAGUGAUAUGUCACUGUGCCCCGUAGGCAGAGCCUAGUCAAGCGUUACAUCACCUGGGUGAUCAGUGCAGAGAUAUGUCAGAAAGCCCCCAUACACAGAGCCUAGACAAGAGUCCCAUCACCUGGGUGAUCAGUGCAGAAAUAUGUCACAAUGCCCCUAUAGGCAGAUCCAACACAAGUGUUACAUCACCUGGGUGAUCAGUGCAGAAAUAUGUCUCAAUGCCCCCAUAGGCAGAUCCAACACAAGAGUUACAUCACCUGGGUGAUCAGUGUAGAGAUAUGUCACAAUGCCCCCGUAGACAGAGCCUAGACAAAAGUCCCAUCACCUGGGUGAUCAGUGCAGAGAUAUGUCACAAAGCCCCUGUAGGCAGAGCCUAGACAAGAGUUACAUCACUUUGUUGAUCAGUUCAGAGAUGUGUCACAAUGCCCAUGUAGGCAGAGCCUAGACAAGUGUUCCAUCACCUGGGUGAUCAGUGCAGAGAUAUGUGACAAGGCCCCUUUAAGCAGAGCCUAGACAAUAGUUACAUCACCUGAGUGAUCAAUGCAGUGAUAUGUCACUAUGCCCCAGUAGGCAGAGCCUAGUCAAGCGUUACAUCACCUGAGUGAUCAGUGCAGAGAUAUGUCACAAAGCCCCCAUACACAGAGCCUAGACAACAGUCCCAUCCCCUGGGUGAUCAGUGCAGAAAUAUGUCACAAUGCCCCCAUAGGCAGAUCCAACACAAGAGUUACAUCACCUGGGUGAUCAGUGUAGAGAUAUGUCACAAUGCCCCCAUAGGCAGAGCGUAGACAAAAGUCCCAUCACCAGGGUGAUCAGUGCAGAGAUAUGUCACAAAGCCCCCAUAGGCAGAGCCUAGACAAGAGUUACAUCACUUGGUUGAUCAGUUCAGAGAUGUGUCACAAUGCCCAUGUAGGCAGAGCCUACACAAGUGUUACAUCACUUAGGUGAUCAGUGCAGAGCUAUGUCACAAUACCCCCGUAAGCAGAGCCUAGACAAGAGUUACAUCACCUGGUUGAUCAGUGCAGAGAUAUCUCACAAUGUCCCUGCAGGCAGAGUGUAGACAAGAGUUACAUCACCUAGAUGAUCAGUGCAGAGAUAUUUCACAAUGCCCCCUGUAGGCAGAGCCUAGACAAGAAUUAUAUUACCUGGAUGAUCAGUACGGUGAUAUGUCACUAUGCCCCCUGUGGGCGGAGCCUAGACAAGAGUUACAUCACCUGGGUGAUAAGGGCAGAGAUAUGUCACAAUGCUCCAGUAGGCAGAGCCUAGACAAGAGUCCUAUCACCUGGGUGAUCAGUGCAGAAAUAUGUCACAAUGCCCCCAGUAGACAGAGCCUAGACAAGAGUUACAUCACCUGGGUGAUCAGUGCAGAAAUAUGUUGCAAUGCCCCCAUAGGCAGAUCCAACACAAGAGUUACAUCACCUGGGUGAUCAGUGCAGAGAUAUGUAACAAUGCCCCCAGUAGGCAGAGCCUAGAGGAGAGUUACAUCAUCUGGGUGAUCUUUGCAGAGAUAUGUCACAAUCCUCCAAGUAAGCAGAGCCUAGACAAAAGUUACAUCAUCUGGGCGAUCAGUGCAGAGACAAGUCACAAAACCCACAUAGGAAAAGACUAGACAAGAGUUACAUCAUCUGGGUCAUCAGUGCAGACAUAUGUCAAAGCUGCCGUAGGCAGAGUGUAGACAAGUAUUACAUCACUUGGGUGAUCAGUGCAGAGAUCUAUCACAGUGCCCCCAUAGGCAGAGCCUAGACAAGAGUUCCAUCACCUGUGUGAUCAGUGUAGAGAUAUGUCACAAUGCCUCCUGUAGGCAGAGGCUAGACAAGAGUUACAUCACCUGGAUUUUGUUUCCUGCAAUAUGUCACAAUGGCGAGGGUGAGGGUUAGGGUUAGGGUGAGGGUCAGGGUGAGGGUCAGGGUGAGGGUCAGGGUGAGGGUGAGGGUCAGGGUGAGGGUGAGGGUUAGGGUUAGGGUGAGCAUUAGGUUUAGGGUUAGGGUUAGGGUUAGGGGUUAGGCUUAGGCUUAGGGUAAGGCUUAGGGUUCAGGUUCAAGUUUGGAUUCGGGUUCGGGUUCAGGUUAAGAGUUAGGGUUAGGGUUACGGGUUAGGGUUAGGGGUUAGGGUUAGGUGUUAGGGCUGGGUUAGGUUUAGGGUUAGGGUUAUGGGUUACGGUUAGGGUUAGGGUUUAGGGUUAGGGUUAGGGUUAGGAUUGGGGUUAGGUUUAGGGUUAGGGUUAGGGUUAGGUUUAGGGUUGGGUUAGGGUUAGGAUUGGG